UUGAACGCUGGCGGCAUGCUUUACACAUGCAAGUCGAACGGUAACAGGCCGCAAGGUGCUGACGAGUGGCGAACGGGUGAGUAAUGCAUCGGAACGUGCCCAGUCGUGGGGGAUAACGCAGCGAAAGCUGUGCUAAUACCGCAUACGACCUGAGGGUGAAAGCGGGGGCUCGCAAGACCUCGCGCGAUUGGAGUGGCCGAUAUCUGAUUAGCUAGAUGGUGAGGUAAAGGCUCACCAUGGCGACGAUCAGUAGCUGGUCUGAGAGGAUGAUCAGCCACACUGGGACUGAGACACGGCCCAGACUCCUACGGGAGGCAGCAGUGGGGAAUUUUGGACAAUGGGCGAAAGCCUGAUCCAGCCAUUCCGCGUGAGUGAAGAAGGCCUUCGGGUUGUAAAGCUCUUUCAGACGGAAAGAAAUCGGGCGCGUGAAUAGCGUGCCUGGAUGACGGUACUGUCAGAAGAAGCACCGGCUAACUACGU
rnacentral:rRNA from 1 species